rnacentral:rRNA from 1 species
UACGGAGGAUGCGAGCGUUAUCCGGAUUUAUUGGGUUUAAAGGGUGCGUAGGCGGGCUUUUAAGUCAGCGGUAAAAAUUCGGGGCUCAACCCCGUCCGGCCGUUGAAACUGGGGGUCUUGAGUGGGCGAGAAGAAGGCGGAAUGCGUGGUGUAGCGGUGAAAUGCAUAGAUAUCACGCAGAACUCCGAUUGCGAAGGCAGCGCACCGGCGCCCUACUGACGCUCAGGCACGAAAGCGUGGGUAUCGAACAGG